GAAUGUUGUCCUUGUGGUUGUUGGGCACUGUCGUCCAGGCGAUGCUGACAGGGAGGAAGGCCAUGAAGGCUUUUGCUGAAGAUGAUGCUAAAGAGGUUGGCCUCUAGGGAAAUCAGCUGUGCAGAUCAACCGAAAAAAGUAGAAAUGACGUCUACUUAAAAUGAUGUUCUUGUGCACAAAUCCUUGAAAACCAACAUGCACCUGCAGCAGACAAUUUGGAAGGAAAAUGGAAGUUGUAACUGACUUCAUUAAAACCUGUGUGGAUGAGUGUGUGCCUACAAAGACUUACUGUACAUUCCCAAACCAAAGCUGUGGGUGAACCAGGAAGUAAGUCGUCUUCUGAAGGCUAGAUCUGUGGCAUUCAAAUCUGGCGACCCAGGCCUGUAGCAGAAAACCAGGAGGGCAAUUUCAAGGACAAAGAGACAAUUUCAAAUGAGGUUGGAGGCGACAUCAGAUGUACGGCAACUCUGGCAGUGUGAGCAAAACAUUACAUCCUACAAAGCGAAACCCAGUAGUAUGAAUGGCAGUGAUGUUUCACCACCAGAUGAACUCAACAUCUUCUAUGCCCACUUUGAAAGGGAGUGAAAAUCAUUGCUGCACCUGAUGACCCAGUGAUCUCUGUCUCUGAGGCUAUUGUUAGGCUCUCUUUAAAGGGAGUGAACCUUCGUGAGGCGGAAGGUCCCAAUGACCUUCAGAGACCUGAUAAGUCUCUGAAAACUUGUGCAAACAAACUGGCAGGAGUAUUCAAGGACAUUUUCAACCUCUCACAGCUACAGGCAGAAGUUCCCACUUGCUUCAAAAAGGCAACAAUUAUACCAGUGCCUAGCAAGAAUAAUGUGAGCUGCCUUAAUGACUAUUGCCCGGUAGCACUCACAUCUACAGUGAUGAAAUGCUUUGAGAGGUUCGUCAUGACUAGUCUGAACUCCUGCCUCAGCAAGGACCUGGACCCGUUGCAAAUUGCCUAUCACCACAAUAGGUCAAUGGCAGACGCAAUCUCAAUGGCGCUUCGCAUGGCUUUAGACCAUCUCGGCAACACAAACACCUAUGUUAGGAUGCUAUUCAUUGACCUAUAGUCAACGUAAAUACUGACCUAAAUACUCAGCAUUUAAUACCAUCAUUCCCACAAUCCUGAUUGAAAAGAUGCAGAACCUGGGCCUCUGUACCUCCCUCUGCAAUUGGAUUCUUGACUUCCUAACCAGAAGACCACAAUCUGUGCAGACUGGUGAUAACAUCUUCUCCUCACUGACGAUCAACACUAGUGCACCUCAGCGGUGUGUGCUUAUCCUACUGCUCUACUCUCUAUAUACACAUGACUGUGCGGCUAGGCAUAGCUCAAAUACCAUCUAUAAAUUUGUUGACGAUACAACCAUUGUUGGUAGAAUCUCAGGUGGUGACAAGUGGGCAUACAGGAGUAAGGUAUGCCAACUAGUGGAGUGAUGUCUCAGCAACAACCUGGCACUCAACGUCAGCAAACAUGAAGGAGAUGAUUGUGGACUUCAGGAAAGAGUUCAAUUGCAUCUUUCCUACAGCAGGAUGGCCAAAACUGAACAAGUACGAGUAGGAACCACAAGGAGGCAUGCCAACUUGAGCCUGGAGUUUGAGGUCCGGUCAUUGGCUAGUCUGGGAGUUGAUAUUAAAAAUCGAAGACAGUAGGUUGAUCAGAAGCCCAGAAUUCAAAGCCCAGCUGCUAAAGCCUGGAGAAUGGAAGCCCAGAGAUCCUGUCCUGGAUUUGGAGAACUGCCUUCAUAGAAACAUAGAAAACCUACAGCACAAUACAGG